AAGCUCCUGUGGUCAGCACCACAUCCUAGCCACUGUGGAAGUACAGAAGGGAACAUCCACUGGAUGACCUGGUGGCUCUCUCUAGAUGGCCUGGCAAUGAUCCAGCUGAGCCAAUCCCCCAGGUGGACAGAGCUCAGGAAGAGGAGAUAAGCAGUAGGACAGCAAGGGCAAGAUCAGCCAAGACUCCAUGGAUUCACCUGCAAUCGCUCAGAGAUGUGAUGGGGGAAGAAUCAUCUGGAAUCAACACUCAGUCCCGGAGGUUCAGAAGGAAUUAACCAGGAACAGGUGCAGGACAAGCUGGAUGUCGCCUCCAGAACUGUGAGAAAUAAGAUUCUGCUGUUUAGACAUCACCUCGUCUGUGGUGUCCUGUGAUACCAGCCUGAAGCAACUUGGACGGCAUUGAAGCAUGAGCCUGUGCUCAUCGGGCCUGUGGCCUUGGCCAAGUUACCGUUAUCAACUUUGAUCUCAGCCCCUGUACCAAUAGCGUGAAACCAAAAACCCUCUAAAGCACAUCUAAACGCUGAGA